UGGGCGUAAAGCGCGCGCAGGCGGUUUCUUAAGUCUGAUGUGAAAGCCCACGGCUCAACCGUGGAGGGUCAUUGGAAACUGGGGAACUUGAGUGCCCAAGAGAAAAGCGGAAUUCCCCGUGUAGCGGUGAAAUGCGUAGAGAUGUGGAGGAACCCCCGUGGCGAAGGCGGCUUUUUGGUCUGUAACUGACCCUGAAGCCCGAAAACCUGGGGGGGAAAACGGAUUUAAAUCCCCCGUUACCCCCCCCCUCACCCAAUAAGUGCUAUUUUUUAUGGGGUUUCCCCCCCUUUUUG
rnacentral:rRNA from 1 species